rnacentral:rRNA from 1 species
AGAGUUUGAUCCUGGCUCAGGAUGAACGCUGGCGGCGUGCCUAACACAUGCAAGUCGAACGGGAUAAGAGAUGCUUGCAUUUCUUAUCAAGUGGCGGACGGGUGAGUAACGCGUGGAUAAUCUGCCCUACACAGGGGGAUAACAGCCGGAAACGGCUGCUAAUACCGCAUAGACUGUAUUCUCGCAUGAGAGAACAGGGAAAGAUUUAUCGGUGUAGGAUGAAUCCGCGUCCGAUUAGCUAGUUGGAGGGGUAACGGCCCACCAAGGCGACGAUCGGUAGCCGGCCUGAGAGGGCGACCGGCCACAUUGGGACUGAGACACGGCCCAGACUCCUGCGGGAGGCAGCAGUGGGGAAUAUUGCACAAUGGGGGGAACCCUGAUGCAGCGACGCCGCGUGAGUGAAGAAGUAUUUCGGUAUGUAAAGCUCUAUCAGCAGGGACGAAGAUGACGGUACCUGCAGAAGAAGCCCCGGCUAACUACGUG